UUUUCUAGCAGUUGUUGUGAUCUAAUGAUUCUGAUACUUGGUGUUGUGUUAUAGUCUCUAGGUUCACACAGAGGAACAUUCUAAAGAUUUACCCCAAAGGAACAUGAAGUUGCCUCCUUGAAUUUCCAACCACAUGUUGGAUGGAUGCAUGGAGCUCAAAUGGUUAUCUCUAAUAUGCAGAUAAGGACACAUAAUUGUUUUCGGACUUGGCUGCAGCACAUGAAUCAUCUUGAAUAGGGUAUCGCUAGGAGUGCAUUACACUUUGUAGGAGAUAAAGGCUGUUGCCUCCAACAUAAAAGAUUCUGAAGUUAAACAAUUUAUUUAGAAUGGUAUGGUCCUAACACCCCAAAGAUUGUCAGGAGAAGAGCUUCUGUCCGCAGAGUGGAGGAGGUUUGGUUAGACCCUCACAACCGAUUUUGAAGAAAUUUUAUAAGCAGUGUGAUCCUGGUCAGUGCUCACUGUUUCAGUCUCAUUUUCUAAAUUUUAUUCCCUACUGAAUUACUAUUUGUUGCUGCACGACUUUUUGUAUAGAUAGAACUGCAAGCAAUGUUUUUGGAGAGACUCCAUGACCAACUUUUGAUAGGCUAACACCUUUUGUAUAUAUACACCUGGAGCAACUAGAACAACUAUUUUUUGGAAAAUGUUCCAGCAGCAAUUGUAACCAAGUUGACCUUAAACUAAGAUAGCCUAUUUUUUGAAAACUACUAUAUAUAAUGGAAAAUGUUGCCAGUAGAAACUUUGAUAAGAUCUCAAAGCUAGGGCAUGAUUUAAUUCAUCUUUUGUUUUAGAUGAUCUGCAGUGAUGAUAUUGUACUAUUUUGUCAUAUUUUACAAUUUUGUCUGAGAUCCUUGAUUUAUAAUGUAGCAAUGGUCUCAAGACAAUUGAAAACAGUUUUGUCGUCCUUUUAAGUUUAGUUCUAUUACAUCUAAUUCAUUGAUAACGGUACAU